GCGAGGGUAGUCUAGCUUGGACUAGGACGUCGGCCUUCCAAGCCGAUGACCCGGGUUCAAAUCCCGGCCCUCGCACCA
rnacentral:tRNA from 1 species